GGAUUGGUGCCUUCGGGAACUGUGAGACAGGUGCUGCAUGGCUGUCGUCAGCUCGUGUUGUGAAAUGUUGGGUUAAGUCCCGCAACGAGCGCAACCCUUAUCCUUUGUUGCCAGCGGUCCGGCCGGGAACUCAAAGGAGACUGCCAGUGAUAAACUGGAGGAAGGUGGGGAUGACGUCAAGUCAUCAUGGCCCUUACGACCAGGGCUACACACGUGCUACAAUGGCGCAUACAAAGAGAAGCGACCUCGCGAGAGCAAGCGGACCUCAUAAAGUGCGUCGUAGUCCGGAUUGGAGUCUGCAACUCGACUCCAUGAAGUCGGAAUCGCUAGUAAUCGUGGAUCAGAAUGCCACGGUGAAUACGUUCCCGGGCCUUGUACACACCGCCCGUCACACCAUGGGAGUGGGUUGCAAAAGAAGUAGGUAGCUUAACCUUCGGGAGGGCGCUUACCACUUUGUGAUUCAUGACUGGGGUGAAGUCGUAACAAGGUAACCGUAGGGG
rnacentral:rRNA from 1 species